rnacentral:rRNA from 1 species
UCCGUAGGCGGUGUGGCAAGUCGGGAGUGAAAUCUCUGGGCUUAACCCAGAGGCUGCUUCCGAAACUGCCGUGCUAGAGUGUGAGAGAGGCGAGUGGAAUUACGGGUGUAGCGGUGAAAUGCGUAGAUAUCCGUAGGAACAUCCGAGGCGAAGGCGGCUCGCUGGAUCACAACUGACGCUGAGGGACGAAAGCUAGGGGAGCAAACA